AAAGCCAUGUUGGGGAAGGGGAGCACGUGCAAAGACAGUGUUGCUCUCAACUUCAACCUUGCACGUGCCCUGCUUCUCCAUCAAGGCCUC
rnacentral:pre_miRNA from 1 species